rnacentral:rRNA from 1 species
AUUUAAAUGGCUGCAGUAUUUUGACUGUACAAAGGUAGCAUAAUCACUUGUCUUUUAAUUGAAGGCUGGUAUGAAUGGUUGGAUGAAAAAUAUACUUUCUUUUUUUUAUAUAAAAAAUUUAAUUUUUUGGUCAAAAAGCCAAAAUAUUUUUAUAGGACGAGAAGACCCUAUAGAACUUUAUUUUCUAUAUAUAUAAAUUUUAUUGUUUUUUAUAAAAUUAUAUAUUAAUGUUAAUUUUGUUGGGGUGACAGAAAAAAUUAUAUAACUUUUUCUAUUUUAGGCAUUAAUUNAUGUUUUUUUGAUCUUUUAUUAAAAAAGUAGGAUUAAGUUACCUUAGGGAUAACAGCGUUAUUUUCUUUGAGAGUUCUUAUUGAUAAGAAAGUUUGCGACCUCGAUGUUGGAUUAAAAUAAGUGGCAGGGGUAGCAAUAUUGCUUUACUAGGUC